UUUACACAACUCUCUCUCUCUUUUAUUAUCUUACAACAUAAACGAGUUCAUACAUAUUUAGAUACACGUUUAUAAACAUCGAUUGGUAAUUAUUGUACAAUCGGUCUACGAAUAUCUCACCGGAUUUCGAACGUUCUCGUCCGGCGUCAUUGAGCUACUCCCACGCCCUUGAUCUGUCCGUUUUAGACCGUCCACGUGUCUUUGCAUGUUGGACUUUCGCUUAUGUCUGCGCGGGUGGGUCCGGCAUCUGUUGGUAACAUUUUUUGGGGUCAACAGAUUGGCGCCGUCUGUGAGAAUCCAUACAAUAACCACGAACAACCUUAUAGUGAAAGCUUAUUGAAGAGGAACGUUUAGGCAUUCCCCUUGAAAAAGGAUUUGUUCUUGAAAAAGAACAAGAGAAAGCCUCACAACUUAGUAAAAAACUGAAGGUCAAACAAAGAAAAUGAGUUCAAACGAAGACACCCCCGGGAGGGUAAGAGAAAAUGCAGGUGUGCCCCCUCCGGCAGUUGCCCUGGCAGCUUGGCACCGACUCUACCACCAUCAUAGAUGAGGUGGAAUGCGAGUGACAGUCCGGUUAUCAAGAGAAAUGGCCAACAUGGCAGCCAACAUGAGGGACAUUGCUAGCCAGAACAUGGCUAUGAGGGAACUCAUGGUCCAAAUGCAAGGCCAGGGAGAUUUCCCUAUUCCCCCAUACGCCUCAUAAGGACACUAUCAGCAAGAAGAUGAAGUUCAAAGUCAGAGAGUUGCCUCGCCGGACUAUAGCCGAGGUAGAAGUCCAUUUGAAAGGAAAGUAAAAGUUGAUAUUUCUUCCAACUACGCGUCUGGGCGACCCACCGAGGUCCCUUUGAACCAUGAAAACUUCCUACCUCUAUAUGAGCAAGAGCAAAGACAUAGGAGGUCAGGUAGUAUAUUUGACAGAAUCAGC
rnacentral:lncRNA from 1 species